rnacentral:rRNA from 1 species
UAGGGAAUUUUGCGCAAUGGGCGAAAGCCUGACGCAGCAGCACCGCGUGAGCGACGAAGCCCUUUGGGGUGUAAAGCUCUGUCAGUGGGGACGAAUCAAUGACGGUACCCACAGAGGAAGCAUCGGCUAACUACGUGCCAGCAGCCGCGGUAAGACGUAGGAUGCAAGCGUUGUCCGGAUUUAUUGGGCGUAAAGCGUUCGUAGGCGGCAUACCAAGUCUGGUGUUAAAGCCCGGGGCUCAACUCCGGUUCGGCACUGGAUACUGGUAAGCUAGAGUGUAGUAGAGGCAAGGGGAAUUCCCAGUGUAGCGGUGAAAUGCGUAGAUAUUGGGAGGAACACCAGUGGCGUAAGCGCCUUGCUGGGCUAUAACUGACGCUGAGGAACGAAAGCCGGGGGAGCAAAUGG